UAUUGCCUUAUAAGUAUAGUAGCAAUUAGAAACAUCUGUGAGAAAAAAAUUUCCUCAAGAAUGUUAUUUUGUGGCAAAUAUUUUUCUGAAGGUUAUGCUGGAUUUUUCACUCUUCAAUUGGAAUCACCCUCCUAUUCAUCCUUUCUUCUUGGUUCUCAGAAUAGUGUCAGUUGUGUAUUUAUCCACUAUGAGAUUAUUUGAAGAUUUUCUUAAUAAAAUAUAAAAUUCUUAGCAUACAUACACUUGUGUAUGUAAAAUAUAUAUAUGUAUACAAUGUAAUACCUUAUCUUUGAAGCCUAUCUGCUACUUGUCCUAUCAUCCAUGGAUAUAGAUAUUUUACCCCUUGACGUCAAAAUAUCCCUCUUGUAUCUAUUGUUACUAUUGAUUGUUUUCCACUGAUGUGUGUAGCUUACCUACCCAGGUCUUCUUGGAGAAGAGAUUUCACCAACAGGUGUUCACCAGGGUUUGAAUAAUACGUGACAAGCACGUUGAUAAGUGGGAUGUAAACCUGUCACCUUCCCAACUACUGUAAGCAAACGAAUAUUAAUGCAUAUACAUAUAGACAUGACUCUCAUCCUUAUCAUAUUUACUUAAAAAUUGGGAUUUUUAAUGUGGAGAAUGUUCAAACAUCUAGAGGGGCUGAAUGGCUGCGAUAUCAUCAAGGUAACUGAAGGAACUGGAGUGUUUUGAGGAGCCGUGACUCACACACCUCGUAGCUUUGGAUGACGUGCUCUCUGUGCCCUGCCUGCCACCAUGGGAUUUGUAAUGGGCUUGGAUUUGUCCUAAGAGGAUACGGAAACAUUAUGUUCUGUGCUUCACAUAACUGGUAACAGGCACCAUCCCAACAGCUUUAAAAAAAUAUGUUCAUGACUCAGUGCCCAAAUAGGCGAUUCAGAGAGGAAGGAUCAUUGACAUUCAGAGGAGAGAGAGGGCAAGGGCUGCUGUGUUUAUUUUGCCACGCUCAAUUUAUCCUUUCCUCCCAGAAAGUUACUUACCUCUAACUUUGAAUUUCCAGCAGUACAUUCAGCCAUGAAUCGCCCCCAUUUAUAACUCUUGUUACCAUUUAUCAAUAUAAAGCUUGUUUAUAAGAAGACUUAAAAAAAUUUUUUUUGUGGGGGGAGGUAAUUAGGUUUAUUUACUUCAAUGGAGGUACUGGGGAUUGAACCUAGGACCUCAUGCAUGCUAGGCAUGCACUCUACCACUGAGCUAUACCCUCCCCACUAAAGCUUAUUUAUAAAUGAGCAGAACCAGACAUUUUCCAUGUUCAUGACAUGGCUUUGUGUAGGGAGCAUUGGGGUGAACUUCUCAACAUCCAUCCCACCCCAGAUGAUCAGUCUAAGACAGUUGGGGCAAUUGUUUCCCACAUGGUUACACAGGCGACCCAAUUGUCACCAGUGGGAUGAAACCUCUGGAAGAAGUUUCCUCUCCAAAGAGAAAGCCCCAGAAGUAACUGCCAUGGCUGCCCUGCUACCAGCCUGAGAAUGACACAGACACCAAGACGGCUGAGUGGAGAAUGAAAGAUCGUGAGGCCUUGUUGACUCCAGCCACAGAUGCAGGGAACCCCGAAGCAGGUCCUACAGCAAGACUUCCACGUAUGUGCAGAUCAUAAAUUUUCUUACUGUUUAAGCCAUUUGAGCUGGGGUUUCUAUUACUUGCGACUAGAAGCAUCCUCACUGAUAAACUUCUCUUAAGAGGAAUGACUCAUGGGGAAACAAUCCUUCCAGCUUCUGCUUGACUCUGGCCUCCACAGAUAAUUAUCUGGGCCAUCAGAUACAUAAAAAAUAUGGAGGUCAUAAGAUUAACGUGAGUGGUUACAUUUAGGGAGAGGGUGGAGAUAUUGACUGGGAGGGGGCCUGAGAGGGGCUUCUGGAAUGUUGGUAAUUUCUUGAUCUGGGUGGUGGUUAUAUGGGUGUGUUUACUUUGGGAUAAAGUCAUUGAGCUGUAGACUUAUGACUUGUGUACUUUUCUGCACGUGAGUUAUACGUCAGUUAAAAAAAAUUAUUUUGUAACCAGUCCUCCAAACAAACUGUUUGUAUCUUGACUGGAAGAGUAUGAAUGACAUACCGUGGUCAUUUUAUUAGGUAGCCAAACUAAGCUAUAGCGAAAUGCUCUCUCUGAUAAAUUUCCAGAAGCUCAUUGUAAAGACCUCCCGUCACUAGUGUGCGGUCAACCUUCUCUAACCUCAGCCAGAAUGUUUUCCCUUAGUGUUUGGAUCAGAAGGCCUCAACGCCUUGCAGAUGUAGGACUUCAUCCUUUUUAGAAUACAGUCACAAUAAAUAUUAAAACCAGAAUAAGAACUAACAAGUUGGCAUCCGUCCAUGUAGGGCUUUGUCAGGUAAUGGUCUCAGAGAGGCAUUUGAAUUAUGAAAGGGUCCACUCCCAGGAAACCAGUGAGUUUGGAGAAGGCACUCACACAGCCCAGGUUAUUGAGACCUCUAGUUCACAGAGGAAGAGAUGUAACAUAUUUAGUUAGUUGUUUGUGGAAGAAUAUAUGGGCUUUGGGGACCAAAGUAUCUGGAAAAAGACUUGGCUCCAAUAGAGGAAAACCAGCUAAGGAAAGUUACCAUAAAUCAUAGGUUGGAGAGUGGAAUUGGACAUGGGGUAGCAAGGCCUUGGGACUGUUGGUCUUCAUGAGGGAGAGGAUAUGGAGUGCAAUCACGUCAUGAAACUAAAUGAGGAAAGUGGUUGGUUGGUGGUCAGGGCCAAGGAGUUCAAAUUCCUUCGCGCUGUAGAGCCCUGUCUUGACUGAGGAGCCGCAUUGAUUCCCAGAACUGGAAGCUCAUAAGAAUGUGGAGGCAUAAUAAUUUAUCUACCUAACACCUAACUUCAGGGUGCUUUCACAUUCGGUAUAUCCUCGCCACAACCUUGUGAGGUGGGUGAGUUAGAUAUGGUCAUAAGAGAGAAAGUGACUAAGAGAAUGAGCUUUAGAGUCAGACAGACCUGCGUCUGAAUCCUGUCUCUGUCCUAUCAGUGGAGUGGUGGUGUGAAAUUCAGCCUGUGUGGUGCUUCUCACCUCCGGGGAACAUUUGGCAACACAUGGAGACGUGUUUGAUUGUCACAACUGGAGGAGUGCCAUUAGCAUUUAGUGGGUGGAGGCCAGGGGUGCUGCUAAACAUCCUACAGUGCACAGGACAGCUCCCGACUGCAAAGAAUUGUUCAGCCCCAAGUGUCAGUAGUGCUGCUGUUGAGAGACCCUGGGUCCUAUCUGAUUCUUAGUCUCUUUGUCUGUGUAAUGGGAUAUUGACAUCCCCUCAUUGCAUUGUUAUAAAGAGUAGAUUAAGUAAUAGUUGAUACUGGGUUGUCUGUCCUUCCACUCUCCCUGCCAUUCUGGGCGCUGCCCUCUUAGGACUCUACAGCUCUACAGAAUUAAAUUUCCAUGGGCUGACUGCCAGCCACCUGUAGUCCCCACUUAGUUUCAUGAUGUUUGUCCCUGGCCAGUGUUUUGCUUGGUGUGACUCUGCCCCCUUUGCCACAGUUGAUUGGAUCAGGGGUGGACACUGGAUCCAAGCUAGAGUGGUAAGAACUCUUUUCCCAAGGAACUUGGUAAUUUGUACUGAGAGGUUCCAGGCUUAGUUUGGCUGGUAUCGUGAAUGGAGAAGAUACAAUCCUGGGAGCUGUGGGUGGUCAUUUUCUCACAUGUGAAUGGGAUGCAGGGACAGCCAGUUUAUAACAAAAGAGAAGAAUGCAACAGUUACAGAGAGAAGCACAGCAAUAAGAGACAGUCCUCGGAGUGUGUUCCCUGGCCACGCCCUCCCCUUCAGUUCAGUAGGCCAUUUCUGUGUCCAUGUUAAACAUUUGCCUAAGCCAGCUUCAGUUAUGUGUUUCUUAUGCUCAAGGGACACAUCAUGACUACUGGUGAAAUAUGGAAAAGCACUUAGCAUGGUACCUAGGAAUAGUAAGCCCUAAAUAAGUGGCAGUUAUUAUUAUUAUUCCCAUUUUCAAGGUAAGAAAAUCAAGGCAGAGAGAUUAAAUAAUUUGUCUUAUGUCACACAGCCCUGGAGUGGUAAACCUGAUCUGGAAUCCAGGCCUCCUGACAUUGAGACCUGGGUUCUGUUCUGUUUAUUCUUUGAACUGUGCAUGAGUAAGUAAGUACCUCUGUACGGCUAAAAAUAAUUUCAAAUGAACCCUGGUGUAUCCAUCACCCAGGAAAAGAACUAGAAAACUGGCUGCCACUCAGAAGACCUUCCUGCGUCCCUCCCUGACACGUCUCCCUCUCUCUCUGCCAGAGGACUGGCCUCAGUGGAGAGAAGUGUAUUCUUGGAGAACAAGAGGAGAAGCGGGGUUGGUGCAAGGCUGACGAGUGUGGUUCAGGUGAAACAUUCACAUGGAAAAUCUCCCUCCCCUUCUUGUCCUCAUCUGCAAAGACACCCAUUCCCC